rnacentral:rRNA from 1 species
UACGUAGGGGGCAAGCGUUGUCCGGAUUUAUUGGGCGUAAAGAGCGUGUAGGCGGCCGUACAGGUCAGCUGUGAAAACUCGAGGCUCAACCUCGAGACGUCGGUUGAAACCGUACGGCUAGAGUCCGGAAGAGGAGAGUGGAAUUCCCGGUGUAGCGGUGAAAUGCGCAGAUAUCGGGAAGAACACCCGUGGCGAAGGCGGGUCUCUGGGCCGAUACUGACGCUGAGGAGCGAAAGCGUGGGGAGCGAACAGG